AGAGAGUGGAGAGGUUUGUUUGCUGUUUAUCACCUUUAAUUCCACUUAUGUUACGAGUGUUGUGCGUCUAUUUAAAUGAAGCUCCCUCCUCCUCUAGUUCAGCUAUAAACACUGGAAUAUUCCCAUCAGGCUCCAGUGAAGAGUUUAUUGAAGGAAAGCAGGAAAAUGAGUGAUCCAGAACCCUGCAAAAUUAAAAAUGAAGACUCUGAACAACAAAUAGACCUAAUUGAAGAGAAUGAGGGGAGUAAAG